rnacentral:rRNA from 1 species
GAUGAACGCUGGCGGCGUGCCUAAUACAUGCAAGUCGAGCGAACAGACGAGGAGCUUGCUCCUCUGACGUUAGCGGCGGACGGGUGAGUAAAACGUGGAUAACCUACCUAUAAGACUGGGAUAACUUCGGGAAACCGGAGCUAAUACCGGAUAAUAUAUUGAACCGCAUGGUUCAAUAGUGAAAGACGGGUUUGCUGUCACUUAUAGAUGGAUCCGCGCCGCAUUAGCUAGUUGGUAAGGUAACGGCUUACCAAGGCGACGAUGCGUAGCCGACCUGAGAGGGUGAUCGGCCACACUGGAACUGAGACACGGUCCAGACUCCUACGGGAGGCAGCAGUAGGGAAUCUUCCGCAAUGGGCGAAAGCCUGACGGAGCAACGCCGCGUGAGUGAUGAAGGUCUUCGGAUCGUAAAACUCUGUUAUUAGGGAAGAACAAAUGUGUAAGUAACUAUGCACGUCUUGACGGUACCUAAUCAGAAAGCCACGGCUAACUACGUG